CCAGCCCUGCCUGCCUGCAUUCCCGCCUCCGCUCCAGACCUGUUUGCUGUUUGCCGCUUACCUGGCCCCAUCCCUGUCUCAUUCUGCCUGCCUGUUUCCCCAGACUCCGGCGGCUCCUGCUCCUGGUCUUUCUCUCACUCACCUGGCCCAGCUUGUCCCCACACCUCUGGCCUCCAACCCAGACGGCUCAUCACCCAGGCUGCUGGUAGCAGACCCAAUUUCUUCAGGAUCGAAAACCAACUGACCUUUACCUUCCAUCUUAGAAUCAACACUGUGUAUUGGUUCCAAGGCAGAAGAGUGGGAACAAUCAGCUGGAGGAAUUGCACCUAGAAAAGGAAUUUCUCUAACAGGUGCAAAGGAGGGUAGUGUGAGUGUGAUGCCAUAAUCAGACAGAAUGGACCAAAUUCUGUGCCUCCUUACUCCCAUGAAGCUGAGCCAUUAGUCAGUGGGAGUUGUGAGCCAGUAGUUGAGCUCCUUCUGCAGGAAGUUGUGAACCUGGAGGAAGCCAGCCUCUUGCUCUGGAUUGUAGCUUGCUGCCGUGGUCACUUUCAGGGGUUCCCUGGACAGGGUAUACAUGGAGAUCUCUCCCAUGGGGAUGGAACUUGAGAU